AAAAAACUUUGUGAAAGAAGCAUGAUAAGAUGAGUCAGUGAGUCUCCCUUCUGUCAGAUGACAAUGAUACUGAGGGCACACGUGGAUCCCACAGGGGUGCCUGCUGUGAGGAAAAUUGAUGUAGUCAUCCAGUGACUAUGGACAGGUGAUCAAAUCCAGAACUGGCCUUUGUCCGCAAGCCUGACACUGGUGAAUAAAGAGUGAAUAUCCAGGCCCCUGUUGUCAUGGCAGCCUUGAUGAGCCCUUUGCCAAAGACCUGCUUGAGUUUGGGCUGCAAUUCAAAGUUCUGCAGGCCCCCGUGGACUGAGAUGAGCAGCUUGGGCAGUUCCAGCUG